rnacentral:rRNA from 1 species
UACGUAGGGUGCAAGCGUUAAUCGGAAUUACUGGGCGUAAAGCGUGCGCAGGCGGUUAUGUAAGACAGAUGUGAAAUCCCCGGGCUCAACCUGGGAACUGCAUUUGUGACUGCAUAGCUAGAGUACGGUAGAGGGGGGAUGGAAUUCCGCGUGUAGCAGUGAAAUGCGUAGAUAUGCGGAGGAACACCGAUGGCGAAGGCAAUCCCCUGGACCUGUACUGACGCUCAUGCACGAAAGCGUGGGGGAGCAAACAGG